UGGGGUGUCGCCAAGUGGCCUAAGGCGCCUGGUUUUGGUCCAGGUAUUCGAGGGUUCGAAUCCUUCCACCCCAACCA
rnacentral:tRNA from 1 species